rnacentral:lncRNA from 1 species
UGCCCCUGCAAAAUCUCGUAGAAGAACUAGAGGUGCAAUGCAAUAUUUGUGAAAUUGUAUAUGAGCAUAAAAAUUGAGGCAAUAAAGGGGUACGGAUUCAUUGAUGAGGCAUUUAAGAGAAAGGCACGCAAGAGAGUUAAGUAUUGCACAAAGUGGUGAGGCUGUUGGUGGCCAGCACAAACUAGAUGGAACCCAACAAUCGGUCAAUUAGUUAAUAAUUAUAAUAAAAUGAAGAACCGGAA